GACGAACGCUGGCGGCGUGCCUAAUACAUGCAAGUUGAGCGCUGAAGGUUGGUACUUGUACCAACUGGAUGAGCAGCGAACGGGUGAGUAACGCGUGGGGAAUCUGCCUUUGAGCGGGGGACAGCAUUUGGAAACGAAUGCUAAUACCGCAUAAAAACUUUAAACACAAGUUUUAAGUUUGAAAGAUGCAAUUGCAUCACUCAAAGAUGAUCCCGCGUUGUAUUAGCUAGUUGGUGAGGUAAAGGCUCACCAAGGCGAUGAUACAUAGCCGACCUGAGAGGGUGAUCGGCCACAUUGGGACUGAGACACGGCCCAAACUCCUACGGGAGGCAGCAGUAGGGAAUCUUCGGCAAUGGACGAAAGUCUGACCGAGCAACGCCGCGGGAGUGAAGAAGGUUGUCGGAUCGUAAAACUCUGUUGGUAGAGAAGAACGUUGGUGAGAGUGGAAAGCUCAUCAAGUGACGGUAACUACCCAGAAAGGGACGGCUAACUACGUG
rnacentral:rRNA from 1 species